CACACCACAGGACUGCUUCCUCUGCCUGCUGUCUCUAAUGGCUGCAUUCAUUAGGACUCCAGGAAGCAUUUGGCCAUCUUGUAUACCGGAAACUACACAUCCCUGCAUGGAGCACACAUGCUCAGUACACCAGGGGCUGACCCUUGCCUGGGCAUGUCUCCUGUCACUAGGGUCACACAAGGUCUGCCCAUAUAAAAAGGGGCAGUGAAAACAGACCCAGUGGGAUGCCUUCUCCAUCUGGACCAGCACCAUGCCACACCACCUAUCUACCCAGAGGCCCUGCCAGUGACCCCCCUCUGGACAACACCUACUGGACAAGAACUCCUUUCCAGCCUGGAUAGGUAGCUAUCACCCCCCACCCCCUCUUCAACCAAGGACUUGGACUCUGCUUCUCUUCCCUACCUGGACUCCAACCCUUCCACUGAGUCUCUUUCUCCUGCUGCCAUUGUGAUCGCGUGUGCAUACCAUUAACUUCAUGGGGCUGUGUAGUGUGUUGUCUGUCUAAUAAAACUGCUAUUUGGACCUCUAAGUUGGGUUUUGCUUUA